UAGCGAAACGGCCCCGUGUGGGGCCGUCGUCCGACGGCGGCGCGCCGGACCUGAUGAGCAGCCAAGA
rnacentral:hammerhead_ribozyme from 1 species